rnacentral:rRNA from 1 species
UGGGGAAUUUUGCGCAAUGGGGGAAACCCUGACGCAGCAACGCCGCGUGAGUGAUGAAGGCUUUCGGGUCGUAAAGCUCUGUCAGUGGGGAAGAAAUGGAUGUCGCUAAUAUCGGCAUUUCUUGACGGUACCCACAAAGGAAGCACCGGCUAACUCCGUGCCAGCAGCCGCGGUAAUA